rnacentral:rRNA from 1 species
AUGGAGGGCCUUCUACAUUGGGACUUCUCGCCUGGCCUCGCGGUCGCGGCUCAGGUGCGUCGAUGUUUUGGAUCUUCUGUUCAUUUCUCCCCCGAUGGACCGACCAAGGAGUUUUUCUUGGUUGUGUACUUUUCGUCGGCCUCCUUCUCUUUGUCUGAGGAAUCAGUGGCCAUUGCUCUACAAUGCUGCAUCGGAGGUCUACGUUCUGGUCUAAAUGUGCAACAUAUUGAGGGUCGAUCUUUUCGCUUUUCUAUUGUGUCCAAUCGUGUGGGACAUUAUAUCUAUGGCCUCAAGGAUCAAGUUUGGCCGGACUUUGUUUGUCAUUUUCAACUCUAUCGCCCUGGUUACACUCGAUCAAGGUGUUUGGACAAUGUUUGGCACUCUGAUGUUCAUAGCCCUGAGGUUGCUUCUCGUUCCCCGAUUGCGAUAAAAGCAAACCUCUCCUUCCUUGCCAAUGGACAUGCUAAUUAUAAUAGUGCACUUGAGGAAUGCCAAAAGUUUGAUCUUAUUUGGCCAUUGACCAUGGUGGCCGCGCCGUAA